rnacentral:rRNA from 1 species
UACGUAGGGGGCAAGCGUUAUCCGGAUUUACUGGGUGUAAAGGGAGCGUAGACGGCACUGCAAGUCUGGAGUGAAAGCCCGAGGCCCAACCACGGGACUGCUCUGGAAACUGCGGGGCUGGAGUGCAGGGGGGGUAAGCGGAAUUCCUAGUGUAGCGGUGAAAUGCGUAGAUAUUAGGAGGAACACCGGUGGCGAAGGCGGCUUACUGGACUGUAACUGACGUUGAGGCUCGAAGGCGUGGGGAGCAAACAGG